rnacentral:rRNA from 1 species
AUGCUGGAGGUAUCAGAAGUGCGAAUGCUGACAUAAGUAACGAUAAAGCGGGUGAAAAGCCCGCUCGCCGGAAGACCAAGGGUUCCUGUCCAACGUUAAUCGGGGCAGGGUGAGUCGACCCCUAAGGCGAGGCCGAAAGGCGUAGUCGAUGGGAAACAGGUUAAUAUUCCUGUACUUGGUGUUACUGCGAAGGGGGGACGGAGAAGGCUAUGUUGGCCGGGCGACGGUUGUCCCGGUUUAAGCGUGUAGGCUGGUUUUCCAGGCAAAUCCGGAAAAUCAAGGCUGAGGCGUGAUGACGAGGCACUACGGUGCUGAAGCAACAAAUGCCCUGCUUCCAGGAAAAGCCUCUAAGCAUCAGGUAACAUCAAAUCGUACCCCAAACCGACACAGGUGGUCAGGUAGAGAAUACCAAGGCGCUUGAGAGAACUCGGGUGAAGGAACUAGGCAAAAUGGUGCCGUAACUUCGGGAGAAGGCACGCUGAUAUGUAGGUGAAGUCCCUCGCGGAUGGAGCUGAAAUCAGUCGAAGAUACCAGCUGGCUGCAACUGUUUAUUAAAAACACAGCACUGUGCAAACACGAAAGUGGACGUAUACGGUGUGACGCCUGCCCGGUGCCGGAAGGUUAAUUGAUGGGGUUAGCGCAAGCGAAGCUCUUGAUCGAAGCCCCGGUAAACGGCGGCCGUAACUAUAACGGUCCUAAGGUAGCGAAAUUCCUUGUCGGGUAAGUUCCGACCUGCACGAAUGGCGUAAUGAUGGCCAGGCUGUCUCCACCCGAGACUCAGUGAAAUUGAACUCGCUGUGAAGAUGCAGUGUACCCGCGGCAAGACGGAAAGACCCCGUGAACCUUUACUAUAGCUUGACACUGAACAUUGAGCCUUGAUGUGUAGGAUAGGUGGGAGGCUUUGAAGUGUGGACGCCAGUCUGCAUGGAGCCGACCUUGAAAUACCACCCUUUAAUGUUUGAUGUUCUAACGUUGACCCGUAAUCCGGGUUGCGGACAGUGUCUGGUGGGUAGUUUGACUGGGGCGGUCUCCUCCUAAAGAGUAACGGAGGAGCACGAAGGUUGGCUAAUCCUGGUCGGACAUCAGGAGGUUAGUGCAAUGGCAUAAGCCAGCUUGACUGCGAGCGUGACGGCGCGAGCAGGUGCGAAAGCAGGUCAUAGUGAUCCGGUGGUUCUGAAUGGAAGGGCCAUCGCUCAACGGAUAAAAGGUACUCCGGGGAUAACAGGCUGAUACCGCCCAAGAGUUCAUAUCGACGGCGGUGUUUGGCACCUCGAUGUCGGCUCAUCACAUCCUGGGGCUGAAGUAGGUCCCAAGGGUAUGGCUGUUCGCCAUUUAAAGUGGUACGCGAGCUGGGUUUAGAACGUCGUGAGACAGUUCGGUCCCUAUCUGCCGUGGGCGCUGGAGAACUGAGGGGGGCUGCUCCUAGUACGAGAGGACCGGAGUGGACGCAUCACUGGUGUUCGGGUUGUCAUGCCAAUGGCACUGCCCGGUAGCUAAAUGCGGAAGAGAUAAGUGCUGAAAGCAUCUAAGCACGAAACUUGCCCCGAGAUGAGUUCUCCCUGACUCCUUGAGAGUCCUGAAGGAACGUUGAAGACGACGACGUUGAUAGGCCGGGUGUGUAAGCGCAGCGAUGCGUUGAGCUAACCGGUACUAAUGAACCGUGAGGCUUAACCUUACAACGCCGAAGGUGUUU